AGUAUGGUUNCAAGNCUGAAACNUUAAAGGAAUCGNCGGAAGGGCCCCACCCAGGAGUGGAGCCUGCGNCUUAAUUUGACUCANCACGGGGAAACUCACCCAGGUCCAGNCNCAAUAAGGAUUGACAGAUUGAGAGCUCUUUCAUGAUUUUGUGGGUGGUGGUGCAUGGCCGUUCUUAGUUGGUGGAGUGAUUUGUCUGCUUAAUUGCGAUAACGAACGAGACCUUAACCUGCUAAAUAGCUGUAACAAUAGAUUAUUGUUUUGACAGCUUCUUAGAGGGACUAUCGAUUUUCAAGUCGAUGGAAGUUUGAGGCAAUAACAGGUCUGUGAUGCCCUUAGACGUUCUGGGCCGCACGCGCGCUACACUGACGGAGCCAGCGAGUCUAACCUGUGCCGAGAGGUAUGGGUAAUCUUGUGAAACCCCCGUCGUGCUGGGGAUAGAGCAUUGCAAUUAUUGCUCUUCAACGAGGAAUUCCUAGUAAGCGCAAGUCAUCAGCUUGCGUUGAUUACGUCCCUGCCUUUUGUACACACCGCCCGUCGCUACUACCGAUUGAAUGGCUAAGCC
rnacentral:rRNA from 1 species